rnacentral:rRNA from 1 species
UCCUGGCUCAGAGUGAACGCUGGCGGCGUGCUUAACACAUGCAAGUCGAACGGUAACAGGAAAUAGCUUGCUAUUUUGCUGACGAGUGGCGCACGGGUGAGUAAAACUAUAGUUAAUGUACCCCAAAGACUGGGAUAGCCACUGGAAACGGUGAUUAAUACUAGAUACACCUUCUUAUCAUAAGGUAAGAAGGGAAAUGUCUUUUCGCUUUGGGAUCAGACUAUAUCCUAUCAGCUAGUUGGUGAGGUAAAGGCUCACCAAGGCAAUGACGGGUAGCGGUUCUGAGAGGAUGAUCCGCCACACUGGUACUGAGACACGGACCAGACUCCUACGGGAGGCAGCAGUGAGGAAUAUUGCACAAUGGGGGGAACCCGUCGAUGCAGCAACGCCGCGUGGAGGAUGACGCAUUUCGGUGUGUAACUCCUUUAUAUGUCAAGAAAAU